CACGCCGUAAACGAUGGAUACUAGCUGUUCGGAGCAAUCUGAGUGGCUAAGCGAAAGUGAUAAGUAUCCCACCUGGGGAGUACGAACGCAAGUUUGAAACUCAAAGGAAUUGACGGGGGCCCGCACAAGCGGUGGAGCAUGUGGUUUAAUUCGAUGAUACGCGAGGAACCUUACCAAGGCUUAAAUGUAGAUUGACCGGUUUGGAAACAGACUUUUCGCAAGACAAUUUACAAGGUGC
rnacentral:rRNA from 2 species